GGGCCCGUGGCCAAGCCAGGACAAGGCACCGAGCCGACGCCGCGAGCGACGCCGGCGUGCAUGCCUUCUAAGCCGGAGAUCGAGGGUUCAAAUCCCCCCGGGCCCG
rnacentral:tRNA from 1 species